rnacentral:rRNA from 1 species
UAGAAGUAAAAGUCGUAACAAGGUUUCCGUAGGUGAACCUGCGGAAGGAUCAUUCACAAACGAGUGUUUUAUGGCACUCUUUAAAAAUCCAUAUCCACCUUGUGUGCAAUGUUUGUUGGGAAAGUCUUUUCUUUCCCUUCAUAAAUAUCAACCUAUAUCUUUAACAACAUUCGUCUGAUAACAUAUUAUGAAUAUACUUAAUUCAAAAUAUAACUUUCAACAACGGAUCUCUUGGCUCUCGCAUCGAUGAAGAACGCAGCGAAAUGCGAUACGUAAUGUGAAUUGCAGAAUUCAGUGAAUCAUCGAAUCUUUGAACGCAUAUUGCGCUCUUUGGUAUUCCGAAGAGCAUGCUUGUUUGAGUAUCAGUAAACACCUCAACCUCUCUUUUUGACAAAAAAAGGAGGGUGGACUUGAGCUAUCCCAACGACCUUCACCGGUAGGCGGGCGGCUUGAAAUGCAGGUGCAGCUGGACUUUUAUCUGAGCUAAAAGCAUAUCUAUUUAGUCCUCGUCAAACAGGAUUAUUACUUUUGCUGCAGCUAACAUAAAGGAUAAUUGUCCUCUUUGCUGACUGAUGCAGGAUUUUACGACACUUUAUGUGUUGUUCAACUCGAUCUCAAAUCAAGUAAGACUACCCGCUGAACUUAAGCAUAUCA